rnacentral:rRNA from 1 species
GACGAACGCUGGCGGCGUGCUUAACACAUGCAAGUCGAACGAUGAACCCGGAGCUUGCUCCGGCGGAUUAGUGGCGAACGGGUGAGUAACACGUGAGAAACCUGCCCUUGACUCUGGGAUAACUGCGGGAAACUGUAGCUAAUACCGGAUACGACCCUCGGCGGCAUCGCCAGGGGGUGGAAAGAAUUUCGGUCAAGGAUGGACUCGGGGCCUAUCAGCUAGUUGGGGAGGUAACGGCUCACCAAGGCGACGACGGGUAGCCGGCCUGAGAGGGUGACCGGCCACACUGGGACUGAGACACGGCCCAGACUCCUACGGGAGGCAGCAGUGGGGAAUAUUGCACAAUGGGCGCAAGCCUGAUGCAGCAACGCCGCGUGAGGGAUGACGGCCUUCGGGUUGUAAACCUCUUUUAGUAGGGAAGAAGCGAAAGUGACGGUACCUGCAGAAAAAGCACCGGCUAACUACGUGCCAGCCGCCGCCGUAA